CUUGGUCAUUUAGAGGAAGUAAAAGUCGUAACAAGGUUUCCGUAGGUGAACCUGCGGAAGGAUCAUUAAUGAAUCAAAGUCGGUCUUCUGUGCUGGUGGCAACACAUGUGCACGUUGAUCGCAAAUCCACACACCUGUGCACCUUUGACUUUGGGAUCUGUUUGUUUGACUUGGCUUUAUGCCUGCCUGGGUCCCAAAGUAUUUUUACACACUCUGAAUGUAAUGGAAUGUAUCUGUGCAUAAUGCGCAAAAAUACAACUUUCAACAACGGAUCUCUUGGCUCUCGCACCGAUGAAGAACGCAGCGAAAUGCGAUAAGUAAUGUGAAUUGCAGAAUUCAGUGAAUCAUCGAAUCUUUGAACGCACCUUGCACCCUUUGGUAUUCCAAAGGGUACACCCGUUUGAGUGUCAUUGUAAUCUCACUCCACCAGCUUUUUGUUGAUGGAUGUGGACCUGGACUCUGUUGUGUUACUACAACUGGUCUGAAAUGCAUGAGUGCACCCUGCUGUUGCAGCGUUUUCAGUGUGAUAAGCAUCUUCACUGGAUCAAGUUCCCUUGGGACACGCAGGCAUUGUGGGCUCUGUGCUGGCAAACCGUCUUUGGACAACUUUGACAAUUUGACCUCAGAUCGGGUGGGACUACCCGCUGAACUUAAGCAUAUCAAUAAGCGGAGGAA
rnacentral:sRNA from 1 species